rnacentral:rRNA from 1 species
GACGAACGCUGGCGGCGUGCCUAAUACAUGCAAGUCGAGCGAAUGACGAGAAGCUUGCUUCUCUGAUUUAGCGGCGGACGGGUGAGUAACACGUGGGCAACCUGCCCUACAGAUUGGGAUAACUCAGGGAAACCUGGGCUAAUACCGGAUAAUCCUUCGAAUCACAUGUUUUGAAGUUGAAAGGCGCUUCGGCGUCACUGUAGGAUGGGCCCGCGGUGCAUUAGCUAGUUGGUGGGGUAACGGCCUACCAAGGCAACGAUGCAUAGCCGACCUGAGAGGGUGAUCGGCCACAUUGGGACUGAGACACGGCCCAAACUCCUACGGGAGGCAGCAGUCGGGAAUCUUCCACAAUGGACGAAAGUCUGAUGGAGCAACGCCGCGUGAGUGAUGAAGGUUUUCGGAUCGUAAAACUCUGUUGUAAGGGAAAAACAAGUACGUUAGGAAAUGAACGUACCUUGACGGUACCUUAUUAGAAAGCCACGGCUAACUACGUGCCAGCCGCCGCAGUAA